GGGUAAAAGGAGUAAUUCGCUUUGGGGUGAGUUCGCGUCUGAUUAGCUAGUUGGUGAGGUAACGGCCCACCAAGGCGACGAUCAGUAGCCGGCCUGAGAGGGCGAUCGGCCACACUGGAACUGAGAAACGGUCCAGACUCCUACGGGAGGCAGCAGUGGGGAAUAUUGGGCAAUGGGGGAAACCCUGACCCAGCAACGCCGCGUGAGGGAAGAAGGCUUUCGGGUCGUAAACCUCUGUCCCAUGUGAAGAGAAGAGGACGGUAGCAUGGGAGGAAGCCCCGGCUAACUACGUGCCAGCAGCCGCGGUAAUACGUAGGGGGCGAGCGUUGUCCGGAAUGAUUGGGCGUAAAGGGCGCGUAGGCGGCUCUGUAAGUCUGGAGUGGAAGUCCCGCUUUCAAGGUGGGAAUUGCUUUGGAAACUGCGGAGCUUGAGUGUGGGAGAGGAAAGCGGAAUUCCCGGUGUAGCGGUGAAAUGCGUAGAGAUCGGGAGGAACACCAGUGGCGAAGGCGGCUUUCUGGACCAUAACUGACGCUGAUGCGCGAAAGCGUGGGGAGCAAACAGGGGGGAGAUACCCUGGUAGUCCACGCUGUAAACGAUGAAUGCUAGGUGUAGGAGGUAUCGACCCCUUCUGUGCCGGAGUUAACACAAUAAGCAUUCCGCCUGGGGAGUACG
rnacentral:rRNA from 1 species